UCAAUCAGAAAACCGUACUCUUUUGUUUUAAAGAUCGGUUUAUUUGAUUGAGCCGUGCCAAUAUCACGCGUUUAAAUAGUUUAAAGAUUCUAUGUUAGUUGAUGUGAUCAAUCAAGGCUCUGAAGUUAGGAUAGUAACAAGAAAAAAGACAGAAAAAAAGAAGAAAAUUCAUAUACAUUCGUGAGAAGAUACUACUAUUAGCGAUAAUGAAUUCAUUACAAAAAACUGUAGCCCAAUGUUAUAAAGGGUAGUUUCUUCUCUCUUUUUUGUAUAGAUGAUUUAUGUCACUCACUCACUCAUUAAUGUAAAGAUGUCUGACUGAAUUGUUUAUAAUAUUGCGUAUAUUCUGAACUUUUAAUUAAUUUGUUUAUAUUUUUAUUCUAUCACGAAA
rnacentral:precursor_RNA from 1 species